AGGCCUACCAUGCAGUCGAGCGCCCCGCAGGGGAGCGGAAGACGGGAGAGUAACAUCUGGGAACGUGCCAUUUGGUUCGGAACAACCCAGGGAAACUUGGGCUAAUACCGGAUACACCCCUUACGGGGAAAGAUUUAUCGCCGAAGGAGCGGCCCGCGUCUGAUUAGCUAGUUGGUGGGGUAAUGGCCCACCAAGGCGACGAUCAGUAGCUGGUCUGAGAGGAUGAUCAGCCUCACUGGGACUGAGACACGGCCCAGACUCCUACGGGAGGCAGCAGUGGG
rnacentral:rRNA from 1 species